rnacentral:lncRNA from 1 species
AGCUCCAGCUCUGUUUUGAUCCGUCUGAGGCUGUCAGGCUGCGUUUUUCCUAUGAUCCGUUUUCAAGGCAACCAUGGAGCCGGUGGUGGGGAAAUUGGAAUAGGGCAAGUUAAAACCCCACAAAUCUCACUGUUCUUACCAAGGUUUAGCCAUUUAUUGUGAAUAAAAGCUUCCCAGAUGACUGCAAGCCUUUGGUUAACUUUGUGAGUUUUGGCACAGUUGGUUUUGACAAUUUACUGCCAGUUUUUUUUGGAAGAGAGAAUUUUUGGAUGUAUCCCCCAUUACCAGUUCGAUUUCUGUUCUGGAAGAGCACCCUGGCCCCAGAGUGUAGAAGACACGGAGGUCUGGGGAAAUGCUGGGUUCAGGAAGCUGAGUCGGGGGUGUUGUCGUCGACAGGUGACAGAUGCUAGACACCUGUGCUGAGGUGUGGCUCUUGAGGAUCAUUCGCAUAAUGACGCCUAUGUAUUGAGUGAUUAGUUUGCUGAGUUCUGUGCUCAGUACUUUACAUACUUUUUUGUACAUCAUCAUACCUGUUUUAGAGAUGAUAAAACUACAUUUAGAAAAGUUCAAUACCUUGCCCAAGGUCGCCCAGCUAAAGCGGGGUUAGAGCAAGUUUUUGAAUCUUUAUUAGUCUGAACUAAAAAUCCUUGCUCAUGGGGUCUCCUGUGCGGCGCAGCAGGAUUGGUGGCAUCUUGGGUGCUUCCCUGGCUCAGCACAGUGGGUUAAGGAUCCGGCACCGCCUCACCUUAGGUCGCAGCUAUGGCUUGGACCUGAUCCCUGGCCCUGGAAGUCCAUACGCCACAGGGCGGCCAAAAAAGAAAGAAAAAAAAAACCCUUGCUCACAAUCACUACCCUAUAUGUCUAGAAGCAGGCUCCGUGACUUCAUUAGGAAGAGAACUUCGUUCAGGAAAUAUUUUUGGUGUUGAUCUGUGUGCCAGGUGCUGUUGCCAGGGUCAGGGAUAUAGCUGUGCACAGGACAGGAGAAAACAUCCCUGUUCUCAGGGAGCUUACAUUCCAGUGGGUGGAGGCAAUAAACAAGAUGUAUCCGCAAACUUUGUUUUAUGUUGGGUAGGGAUUGAGUGUUGAAAUAAAGCACAGUGAGGAGAGGAAAGAGAGGGCCUUGCUGGAAAGUAAUGCUCGAGUCAGGAUCUGAAGCUGGGAGGAGAACCAUGUGGGUAUCUAGGUGAAAAGCAUUGUAGACAGAGGAAAGGGCAAGGGCAGGGGUCCGAGGAGGAAUGGGUCUGGCUCGUGUGAGGAGCAGCGAGGGCCGGUGGGGGUGGGGUGGAGCCGAGUGGACUGGAAGGAGGAAGGUGACAAGGUCAGAGGGCUCAUGACGGUCCAGAGGCAUGGACCUCACAGGCCACCCACCAAGUGUGACUUGGAGGAAUCCUUGGAUUGAUUACAGGGAGACGAGGCCAGAAACCAGGCGGCCAGGCGGGAAGUCUGCAGUGACCUAGGAGAGAGGAGGCGGUGGCUUGGACCAGGGUGGCUGCCGUGGGAAGGGGAGGAGUCAUCAGCUUCUGCCUCCUCCCUCUUCUGAGGGUCAGGCUUCCCGGAUUUACUUAUUUCCCUGGAGGUGGGGAGAGAGAAGGAACGUCGUCAAGAGUGACUCCAAGUCCUGGGACCUCAGUAACUGGCAGGAUGGAGUUUCCCUUGCUGAGAGGAGGACGAGUGGGGGGCCGAGGUUUGGGGAGUCAGAGCAGGUGCCGGGUCUGGCAGUGUCUGUUGAGUUACCUGUUCCGUGUUCUUCUGGAGCUUUCCAGCGGAGAGUCUUAGGAGCAGGUCUGGUGUUCAGGGAGGGCACGGAGCCUGGGUGGGCACCGUGGACAAGAGGACCAAGAAAUGGCCAUUCAUAGAGCCUAGUGGUGAAAGGGGUAGGGGAGAAAAAUCUCAGGCGCAAAUACUCAAAAAGCAUAUAGCCCUUUGUAUCUCCCCAGCUUCAUCUCACACCUUGUCCACCUCUACAGAGGCACCCCUCCCUCUGCAGGAGUCACAUUGAUGACCUUGAAUUAUAAAAAGAAAUAAAGUGAUAGAGCAAGAAGCAUGGGACACUGUCUAGUGCCCUUCUAAGCCGGCUCUGUGCCCUGUACUGACUCAUAGGCCAGCUCACCAAACGGGUACCUGCCGAGAGGGCAGGGAAGCCUGGCAUUAAUUCUGAAAAGACUUCUACACAAAUAUGUUCAACUUGACAUAAAUCAGCAUUUGAAAUUUGAACAGAGGGAAAGCCUCUUUUUGGUGAAAUGCAUUCAGGUGGACUCGCUCUUUGCCCAGGGAUGUUGGGACAGAUGAGACUUCACUGUGAAAGGCAAGUUGGGAAGAGUCGGGAAGCAGCGGAAGGCACUGGGACAGAUCCUCCUCCAAGGUCAGUGGCAUCCAUCACUCAGAGCCCUCCCCAGGCGGAAAAUGGACGUGCUUUGCUAGAGAGAGUUCAUAUUCCCCACUUGCAUUAAUCUCCUUUUCUAGGGAGCUUGCCAGGCGCCUAGGAAGACACACUUCACGUCGGAUGUAAAUGAGCGCUCUCUGUUCAUGGUCUUCCCAGGGACUGGCCCGCUGCUUCUCCAUACGGGCACCAUCUCGAACCAUCUUUUCAUUCGGUUGCCACAUACGGUUGGCUCAACCCAACUAAUCUUUUCUCUGUCGCGUCUCGUUGCUGCAAUCUGUGGUUCCAGCUUUUAGAGACUUAAUAAACGGAUGUGUUUUCCAGCCCCGAGGAAUGAAAUGAAGAUUGUCACUUGGCGGUGUUCUCCGCCAUCAUGUUUUUGUUGCCGUCGUAGAAAUGGAGCAGAAAAUUACGGCAGCUCCUUUAUUGCCCAACUGCCCGCGCCAUUUCCAGUCCUUGGGAAGGAAAUCAAUUGUUUCUGCAAAUUUCCUGCAGACAUUUGGUUAUUAUCUGUUGAAAUCCUCUGACCAAGCCUUAGUUCUGGGACAGAGAAAGAAACCACUUUUCUCGUCUCUGUGAAAAAUCAACUGCUACGGAAUCCUUUCAUUGUGUCUCUGCUGCUCACUCUGUCACAGGACAUUAAUGAAAGAGAGAUGCUUCUUUGUCAUGCAGCUUGACACUUUGUUCGAAACUUAUUUCUCGACUAUUCCUAAGCUUAACUCUGGACCAAACGCAGUGCUUACAACACUCAGAUAAGGAAACGUUUAAUCCCACUUUCUCGAUGAGACAACUGAGGCCAAAGAACUUAGAUAUGUCGCUUAAAGCCGGUGAGUUUUCUUCACAACAGUGUCCACUGCCCCUCCUGAGGUCCGUAUCACCUCCCAGGAAGAAUUUAUUUUUCACACUUUGGCAUUUUUCAUCUGCCAAGGGUAUAGACUGAAUAAUUAGGGAUGGAUUUUGAUACUGCUCAUAGCUGUCAACUUACUUAGCUGGGCAAGUCACUGACCAGCGAUGGCUUCAGUCCUGGGAGGCGCUGGCACAGGGGUGUCCCCAGCCACGUGUGGAGAAGAGGCACAGGCGGAAGACUGGGCAGGUGCUAGUCUGGGGCUGGUGGGAGAGUUAUUUCCUGAUCCAGCUUCUGCUGCUUCCAAAGGACUCAGAAUGCGGCAGCCUGGGAGGAAUGAGGCUGGGAGCUGGGGGAGCUGGGGCACCAAAGAGGGGCGGGUUCCCUGCGGACUGGAGAGGCUUCCAAUCUCCCGCCAGCACCUGGGGGCCUCAAACCGCAGAAACUCAAAUUCCCACAGUUCUGAAGGCUGAAGUCCAAGGGCAAGGUGUGGCAGGGCUGCUUUCCUCUGCGGCGUCUCGCCCCCUGUCCUCACAGGUCCCCUCCUCUGCCUGUUAGUGAUAAAUUUCCUCUUCUGAUCAGGACACUGGUCAUAGUGGAUCGGGGCCCACCCUAAUGACCUCAUGUUAACUUACCACUUGAAAUACCCCAUAUCCAAACGCAGUCACAUGCCGAGGAGCUGGGGUUAGAUUUCAACCUGUGAACUUGGGGGGCAUGCAGUUCCGCCCGUAACACCAAUUUUCAAUGGUUUUUCAGAUUCCUUUUUAAUGUGCCCCACAAGAGGGGGAAAACCCCAUUUUGAGCGCAAACACCCAAUGAAUCUACUUAUUUAUAAAUCAUAUUCUCCUGGACUAAUAUAUUUUGCACACUGGAAAGCAUACCCGUACAUAGACAAUUUAACGGGCAGACAAGAUGGAAAUAGAUGUUCUGUUUUGGGUCCCCUGGGACGGAGACCCCCUGGUCCUCAAAGGGGGACCAUUGCCUUUGGGGGGACCGAGUCUGGAUCUCCAGAUUGACACACUUAUUCCUUAGCUUUGAACACCUUCUGUAAGAUCCCAGCCACGGCUCCCGUCACCCUCUCUCUCUCGAAGGAAACGUGCCCUCCCUCCGGACCCGUCUCGUGUCAGUGUGUAGUUACCUCAGCAAUGGAAUUGCCUCCAGUUCCAAGUCCCAAGGGCACGCAUCCAUCCCCCCGCAGGCUCACCACCCCUGUGUUCCAUUCGCCCCCCCCCCCCAACCGUUUUCUAUUUGAUUGAGUUUACAUUCUUCCCGGCUCCUCACCGAGGCUGUGAACGCCCAGGGGGACAGGUUCGUCUUCGACUCUGUUUUCCUCGUGCCCAGCGUGGUGCUGGGGAGCAGCAGGGGCUUCCCAGAUUGCUGACGUCCUGGCUUUUCUACUUCAUCACAAGGCAAAACAGAAAAUUAACAACUCACUAUCGCUUUAGAGGUUAAAAAUUCAAGCCUUGCAAUUAAGCCAAAGAUAGAUAUGACUAUCUAUCACAAUAAAAAAUGAAUAGCCCUCUGAAUUGCCCUUGUAGAGAGGCCUCUGGGAGUAAAAAGACAUACAGGUCAAUACGUUUGACCGCUGUUGGUGUUCCCAGUGUGCAGGGCUCAGGGCUGCAGGCAAGGUGGUAUCCAGCCGCAACCUCAGCUCAGAGCUGCUGCAGGUGAAUUGACCUGUAAUGUUGCCUGAACUGUCAGCAGAAAAGCAAAGACAAGAUGUGAAAGUUAUCCUAAGGGGGAGGUCCAAGGACCAUGGCGAAGAGGCUGCCACAGUCCUGCCCACGGAGGAGAGGAAAAGCCUUGUUAGCGAGUGUCUGUUACGUGCCAGACACUGCUUAGCUUUCCCUGCCUGAGCUCCUUCAAUCCUCCAACACCACCAAGUAGGAAACAUCCGUGCUUCGCAGAUGCUGUUACUUCGAGACGUGAGGUAGUCGUCCCAGUAUCACAGAGCUAGGAGGGGAGUGGAGGAGCCGGAUUUGAACCCGGGGCUGUCUGACGGGGGGAGACGGUGGCUUCAUCUAUCAUCCUGCUGGGACCGGUGGAUCCCAGGCGCUUCCCCAUCUUCCAGCAUCUUUCCUUGACUCUCUCACCUCUUCUAGGCAGUGCCUCUGCCCUAUUCCCCGGUGGCGCUCUCUUCUGAUCAAGGCGGGCUGGCUGGACAAAGGCGGUAAUUACUGACCGAGGACCAGCCCCCCUCUCUGGCGAUCGACGUCCAUUCAGACUCGGGUCUCGAGGGGACCGUGUCGGACCCAGGAUGGAGAGAGAACCAAGGGCGGGCAGGCCUGUAGGACCUUGCCAGAUCAUGUCAGGCUGGCAGCCGUCUCUCCUGGGCCGUAUGGAGGCAUGGUGGGUUUUGUGUGGCUUUUGUCUGGGUUUAGUCCCAACCUCAGUGGGAGACGAACGAUGGGCUAUUAGACACCCUUACCUUAGGCUAUGAUGGACAGAACACCAACACGCCUAAGAACAGACUCUAUCUGUUGCUUAAUUAGAAGGAGGAGGCGUGAGUUCUGCUUUAAAGAAGAGCCUCUCAGAGUUCCCCUUGUGGCUCAUGGAACCCGACUAGUAUCCAUGAGGACGCAGGUUCGAUCCCUGGCCUCGCUCAGUGGGUUAAGGAUCCGCUGUUGCUGCGAGUGGUAGUGUAGGUCGAAGAUGUGGCUUGGAUUCAGCAUUGCUGUGGUUGUGGUGUAGGCAGGCAGCUGCAGCCCCCAUUCAACCCCUAGCCUGGGAGCUUCCUACAUCACAGGUGUAGCCAUAAGAAAAAAAGAGAGCGAGAGAAGAGUCUUUCUCGUGGUGCUGGCCUUCCCUUCCUGGGUCACCUGGGAUUUGAGGUCGGUUGUGCUCUUGAGUAUGUUCUUAGUGAACUUAGUUCACUGGCCGGAGACUUUCCCUUGAGGUUUCUUUGCCAAUGGACCCGGCUUCUAGGGCCGAGUGGCUGGUGGGGCUUUGUGGGCUAAGGGAGAGCUCCCGGUAGGCCUCAUCAAAACUGCACACCUUGUCACCAGAGGGGGCUCUGGGCAUUUUGACACUGUCUGAAACCUGCCCUCUAGUCUUUCCAAGUCAAGGGGACAUCAUCUCUCCACUCUUUGGAGCCCCAUUCACCCUUGAAAAAACGGAUCAAAUUUUCAACUUGACAAUAAGUGCCAGGCAAAUGCCUUCAUGGGUGCAGAACCCCCGCCCCCGCAGGCUCAGUGAUGGACAGUGGGGGACACAGACUCUAAAACCGAAAAACAUCCCAAGAAAUAGCAACAACAACAACAACAACAACAAAAACAGACAAAAAAAAGGAGUUGCCGUGGCGCAGUGGUAAACGAAUCCGACUAGGAACCGUGAGGUUGCGGGUUCGGUCCCUGCCCUUGCUCAGUGGGUUAACGAUCCGGCGUUGCUGUGAGCUGUGGUGUAGGUUGCAGACGCGGCUCGGCUCCCGCGUUGCUGUGGCUCUGGUGUAGACUGGUGGCUACAGCUUCGACUGGACCCCUAGCCUGGGAACCUCCAUAUGCUGCAGGAGCGGCCCAAGAAAUAGCAACAACAACAACAAC